rnacentral:rRNA from 1 species
ACGCUCGACACCUACGGGGGCAGCAGUGGGGAAUAUUGCACAAUGGGGGAAACCCUGAUGCAGCGACGCCGCGUGAGUGAAGAAGUAUUUCGGUAUGUAAAGCUCUAUCAGCAGGGAAGAAGAUGACGGUACCUGAGUAAGAAGCCCCGGCUAACUACGUGCCUGCAGCCGCGGUAAUCUGAGCGGGCUGGCAAGGC